GACGUAGGGCGCGAGCGUUGUCCGGAUUUAUUGGGCGUAAAGAGCUCGUAGGCGGCUCGUUGCGUCGGCUGUGAAAACCUGCAGCUUAACUGUGGGCCUGCGGCCGAUACGGGCAGACUUGAGUUCGGUAGGGGAGACUGGAAUUCCUGGUGUAGCGGUGAAAUGCGCAGAUAUCAGGAGGAACACCGGUGGCGAAGGCGGGUCUCUGGGCCGAUACUGACGCUGAGGAGCGAAAGCGUGGGGAGCGAACAGG
rnacentral:rRNA from 1 species